GAUGAACGCUGGCGGCGUGCCUAAUACAUGCAAGUCGAGCGAACAGACGAGGAGCUUGCUCCUCUGACGUUAGCGGCGGACGGGUGAGUAACACGUGGAUAACCUACCUAUAAGACUGGGAUAACUUCGGGAAACCGGAGCUAAUACCGGAUAAUAUAUUGAACCGCGUGGUUCAAUAGUGAAAGACGGUUUUGCUGUCUCUUAUAGAUGGAUCCGCGCCGCAUUAGCUAGUUGGUAAGGUAACGGCUUACCAAGGCAACGAUGCGUAGCCGACCUGAGAGGGUGAUCGGCCACACUGGAACUGAGACACGGUCCAGACUCCUACGGGAGGCAGCAGUAGGGAAUCUUCCGCAAUGGGCGAAAGCCUGACGGAGCAACGCCGCGUGAGUGAUGAAGGUCUUCGGAUCGUAAAACUCUGUUAUUAGGGAAGAACAAAUGUGUAAGUAACUAUGCACGUCUUGACGGUACCUAAUCAGAAAGCCACGGCUAACUACGUG
rnacentral:rRNA from 1 species